UUCAGUUCAUAUCUUUUGCUGCCAAUGUGAUCUUCCUUUGUGCUUUCUGAAUUCAAUUCAUAUUUUUUUCCUUUGCUUUUUAUUGAUUGUUAUCGGACUCACAUCGUCUGACCUUAAAAUUGUGUUAUCAUAAUUACUCAAUGUCAAUACUUUGAGAACUUGUGUUGUGAGCAAUUGCAUGAGUUCUCAUAUUUCUUGUGUCCUUUCUCCAGUAUGAAAAACAACCUGUGAUGUUAUGGAUGAAUGAAGUGGAUCAAAUAGUAGUCAAUCGCUAUGUACGUGACUGAUCAAAGUCUCUCUACUUCUUCGCAGGUUGUGGUAUGGACUACAUACAUUCUACCUUCCUCAGACUACACUAGCAAAAGAUCAUUUGGAACAUAGGGAGGAAAGAAGGAUGAUCCUCAAGUACCUCCCAGUUUGAAGCAAACUAUACAAUUUUCUCCAUUAUAUGGACAGAAGGAGCUUAACUCAGGGAUUGAUGUUGGAAAGACAAAAGACAUCAAAUAAAAUUCUGAUUUUAUUUUCGAGCUUAGCUCUUUAGCUUUCUUUUGAUCUUUGUGAUCAAGAAACAAGUUCAUUACAUUAUGUAGCCCCUGUGUUUGGUUAGAUGAGCCUCAAGUUUGAGUCUUGAGUUUUUUAGUUUGAUCCUUAGAUAAUGUGAUAGUGCCGAUACUGUUCACGUGACCAUUGGAUUAGCAAAUCAU